UUAAGUUCAGCGGGUACCCCUACCUGAUCUGAGGAAUGCAGUGAUUGAUAAUGGAGCCUCGACGGGCCAUGGCUGGAGGCACACUCUGCGCUCAGUGCGACUUUGAAAGAACAUACUACGCGCCGACUGCAGGUGACUUCCGCCCAUGAUUUCCUGCUGUGUGAACCUGCCUGGGGCAGCCGCCACAUCAGCCAUCACCA
rnacentral:misc_RNA from 1 species